GGUGAACCUGCGGAAGGAUCAUUACAAAUGUCUGGGAUGUCCAAUCGGGCCCCCAAGCAAACACAUCCAUGUGUACACUCCCAUGUUGCUUCCCCAGAUCAGUGGCCACUGCUGCCAGCCCACCCCCUCAAUUGGGGUCCUGGGUUGAGGUGUCUGGGGAAGGGCCCAAUAACAAACCUUUGAACCAAUUCGUUGUCUGAGUAGGCCACCCGCCGCAAUCUUUAAAACAUGUUAAAACUUUCAACAACGGAUCUCUUGGCUCUCGCAUCGAUGAAGAACGCAGCGAAAUGCGAUAAGUAAUGUGAAUUGCAGAAUUCAGUGAAUCAUCGAAUCUUUGAACGCACAUUGCGCCCUUUGGUAUUCCUUAGGGCAUGCCUGUUCGAGCGUCACUAAAAACCCCCUCACAGAUAAUGUGGUAUUGGUAGAAGUGAACGGUACUUACAUUACCUUGUCUCACUCUGCUGAAAUGAAUAGGCCAGAGAAGUGGACCCAUGGUAAUUGACUCCAGGAGUGUUUUUCAAUGCUAAACUAGUCUUUACCCAAGUCAAAUUCUGAGCUACCGGACCUCCCAUUAAGUCCAAAACAGAGUGGUUGACCU
rnacentral:rRNA from 1 species